rnacentral:rRNA from 1 species
UACCACUUUGUGGUUCAUGACUGGGUGAAGUCGUAACAAGGUAGCGCUAGGGGAACCUGGCGCUGGAUCACCUCCUUAAACGAUGAU